UACGUAGGGGCUAGCGUUGUCCGGAAUCAUUGGGCGUAAAGAGCGUGUAGGCGGUCCGGUAAGUCCGUUGUGAAAGUCAGGGGCUCAACCCGUUGAAUGCCGGCGGAUACUGUCGGGCUAGAGUCCGGAAGAGGCAAGUGGAAUUCCCGGUGUAGCGGUGAAAUGCGCAGAUAUCGGGAGGAACACCUAUGGCGAAGGCAGCUUGCUGGGACGGCACUGACGCUGAGAACGCGAAAGCGUGGGGAGCGAACAGG
rnacentral:rRNA from 1 species